AUUGAACGCUGGCGGCAGGCCUAACACAUGCAAGUCGAGCGAGCGGCGGACGGGUGAGUAAUGUCUGGGAAACUGCCUGCUGGAGGGGGAUCACUACUGGAAACGGUAGCUAAUACCGCAUACCAUCAGAUGUGCCCAGAUGGGAUUAGCUAUGAGGUGGGGUAAUGUCUCACCUAGGCGACGAUCCCUAGCUGGUAGGAGAGGAGGACCAGCCACACUGGAACUGAGACAAGGUCCAGACUCCUACGGGAGGCAGCAGUGGGGAAUAUUGUACAAUGGGCGAGAGCCUGAUGCAGCCAUGCCGCGUGUGUGAAGAAGGCCUUCGGGUUGUAAAGCACUUUCAGCGAGGAGGCGUUACUCGCAGAAGAAGCACCGGCUAACUCCGUGCCAGCAGCCGCGGUAAUAC
rnacentral:rRNA from 1 species